rnacentral:rRNA from 1 species
GAGUUUGAUCUUGGCUCAGGACUAACGUUGGCGGCGUGCGUAAUACAUGCAAGUCGAGCGGGUGUAGCAAUACACUAGCGGCGAACGGGUGAGUAACACGUGGAUGAUCUACCCUUUAGAUCGGGACAACCAGCCGAAAGGUUGGCUAAUACCGGGUAUGACCACGGCCAGUAUCAGCUGGCUGCGGUAAGAGCAGGGGACCGCAAGGCCUUGCGCUAAAGGAUGAGUCCGCGGCUGAUUAGCUAGUUGGCGGGGUAAUGGCCCACCAAGGCGACGAUCAGUAGCCGGCCUGAGAGGGUGAACGGCCACACUGGGACUGAGACACGGCCCAGACUCCUACGGGAGGCAGCAGUAGGGAAUUUUCCACAAUGGGCGAAAGCCUGAUGGAGCAACGCCGCGUGCAGGAUGAAGGAUUUCGGUCUGUAAACUGCUUUGGAGCGGGAAGAACGCCGUUGGGUGAACAAUCCAGACGGGUGACGGUACCGCUAGAACAAGACACGGCUAACUUCGUGCCAGCCGCCG